rnacentral:piRNA from 1 species
UGCUAGAGAGGGCAAUCCAGUCGCAGCAGA